rnacentral:rRNA from 1 species
AGUGAAUGCUGGCGGUAGGCCUAACACAUGCAAGUCGAACGGCAGCACAGUAAGAGCUUGCUCUUACGGGUGGCGAGUGGCGGACGGGUGAGGAAUACAUCGGAAUCUACUUUUUCGUGGGGGAUAACGUAGGGAAACUUACGCUAAUACCGCAUACGACCUACGGGUGAAAGCAGGGGAUCUUCGGACCUUGCGCGAUUGAAUGAGCCGAUGUCGGAUUAGCUAGUUGGCGGGGUAAAGGCCCACCAAGGCGACGAUCCGUAGCUGGUCUGAGAGGAUGAUCAGCCACACUGGAACUGAGACACGGUCCAGACUCCUACGGGAGGCAGCAGUGGGGAAUAUUGGACAAUGGGCGCAAGCCUGAUCCAGCCAUACCGCGUGGGUGAAGAAGGCCUUCGGGUUGUAAAGCCCUUUUGUUGGGAAAGAAAAGCAGCAGGUUAAUACCCCGCUGUCCUGACGGUACCCAAAGAAUAAGCACCGGCUAACUUCGUG